CAGCAGCCACGGGAAAACCAGCAGCCCAAGUGGUGGUCGCGUUUAUUGGGCCUAAAGCGCUCGUAGCCUGACCGGUAAGUUCCCCGUGAAAUCGGGUCGCCCAACGAUUCGGCUUGCGGGGAAUACUGUCGGUCUUGGGGCCGGGAGACGCCGAGGGUACUCCGGGGGUAGCGGUGAAAUGCUGUAAUCCUCGGGGGACUACCAGUGGCGAAGGCGCUCGGCGAUAACGGGCCUGACGGUGAGGGGCGAAAGCUGGGGGCGCGAACGGGAUUAGAGACCCCUGUAGUCCCUGUCUCUUAUA
rnacentral:rRNA from 1 species